AGAAAAUUCAACUAUGAUCCACUUUAGAGGAGGAGUCUGUGCAGAAGUUGUUUUUCACAAUGAAAGUUGGGCGGUCGGCGGCCUUCCGAGCGAGCUCGUCAGCGGCGGACGAGGUCAGAAGUCGCGGCGUGAGGGCAACCCGGCACGACAUCACCAUUGCGCGGAUGGCGCAGGACCUCCGAGGUUCCGCCGUAUCCUCAUUUGGCAUCUUCGCAACAUGCGCGGCGGCUAUCCACGCACGUUCUUCCCCUUCCGAGCCGAGAUUGAUUUCUCAGCCGGCCGAGCCCCUCGUAAUAGCCUUGGCGAGCUCGUGAAUAUGGAUGAGCUCCAACGAGCGUCAUAAAAUGGCCCGCGAGGCGGAAUGAGACUGUCAGCGCGCGCGCGUGUGUGUGUGUGUGUGUGUGUGUGUGCGUGUGUGUGUGUGCGUGUACGUGUUCGUACGUAUGCGUGUGCAGAGGUGGGAUUAAAAACGAUCAAAGCGGAGAAGCGGGAAAGCUAUUCAGGUAGAUCUGAUGAUAACGUCCAUCUCAUAGAAAGAUGGGCCUCAGAUGAGCAAUCGUGCUCUUGACGGCAGUGUGUGUGCGUGUUUGUUUGAGUGUGUGAGAUAGAGAGGUGACCCCCAAGGGCGCAGAGGCUGAUUGAAAAAGAAGUUCAUUUCCAGGCCCUGAUGGAUAGCAGACAGGCGGCAGAAUAUCCCGGGAAAUGAAAAAAAAAAAAAAAAGCAAAGAGAAGGGGCAGCCGGGGAGGCGGCGGCCGCCACCUGCUCGUUGGCGUUCAUUCGGUGAGAAGUCACACAGAUCUUGGCACGACAGGAGAUCACGAUGAGUGGGAGUAGCCGACGAAAAUGCGAUGGCGCGCCACCGAGCGAAACGACAUCAAAAAGAAGAAAACCGAAAUAACGAUGAGCCGCUCCCAAUCGACUCCAAAUGCGCUUCGUCGGUGUGUGCGUGCCACGACUUCUUCGGGUUUGGUGGACUUUGAGCAAUUCAUCGUUUUUUUUUUUUUCCAACAAAUCAUUUGAGGACCGACGAAGCCGAACUGGAUCGUGACGAUCUCUCACGUCACCCCGGUUGGAAUCGGGGGCGCACUUAGACCUGGCCGGGAACGAGGACGAGCGCUACUGAAAGCGCACCCGGGCGUCGACGCCCACCUGGAUCCGAUCCUCCGGCAGCUCCGUCUUCACGGACAGCAUCUCCCUGGCGUACACGUCCGGGUAGUGUGCCUCGUUGAAGGCUCUCUCCAACUCCUCCAGCUGAUAGGACGUGAAAAUUGUCCUGCGUGCACAAAUGGAAAACUUUCACAGAUAUCGCUUCAAUGCAAAGAUCCAAAUCUCCACAUUCUGCUCGUAAGUCUGAGGAAGCCACCAGAAGAAAAACCGGAGCCAUUUUGCGUCAUCGUCCAUCUGGAUCUUUAGCUAAAUGUAUUGUGCUAUAGAAAAUCGAUACAUAAGAGUUUCACCACAGAAUCCUGUAAUCAAACAGAUGACAAGUCAUGCCUCAAUUCGACAACAAUGCGUCCUUUGCAAAA